rnacentral:rRNA from 1 species
AUAAGAGGUCCCGCCUGCCCAGUGACUAAAAGUUUAACGGCCGCGGUAUUUUGACCGUGCAAAGGUAGCGCAAUCACUUGUCUUUUAAAUGAAGACCUGUAUGAAUGGCACCACGAGGGCUUAACUGUCUCCUUUCUCCUGUCAAUGAAAUUGAUCUCCCCGUGCAGAAGCGGGGAUUCUUCCAUAAGACGAGAAGACCCUAUGGAGCUUCAGGCACCAAGACAGACUAUGUUAAGCACCCUUGCCACAAAAGACAAAACUAAAUAGACCCUGCUUUAAUGCCUUUGGUUGGGGCGACCGCGGGGAAACAAAAAACCCCCAUGUGGACUAGGAACAACUCUCACUCCCACAACCCAGGGCUACAGCCCUAAGUAACAGAAUCUCUGACCAUAAAUGAUCCGGCACAGCCGAUCAACGAACCGAGUUACCCUAGGGAUAACAGCGCAAUCCCCUUUUAGAGUCCAUAUCGACAAGGGGGUUUACGACCUCGAUGUUGGAUCAGGACAUCCUAUUGGUGCAGCCGCUAUUAAGGGUUCGUUUGUUCAACGAUU